rnacentral:tRNA from 1 species
GGGGAUUUAGCUCAGAGGUAGAGCGCUUGCCUAGCAAGCGCAAGGUCCUGGGUUCGGUCCCCAGCUCCG